GGAGUCGGCCGGGCGGCCGCGGGCGAGAGCUCGAGGAAAGUCCGGACUCCGAAGGGCAGGGUGCUGGGUAACGCCCAGGCGGGGUGACCCGCGGAAAGCGCCACAGAGAGCAGACCGCCCCCUCGGGGGUAAGGGUGAAACGGUGAGGUAAGAGCUCACCAGCGGGCCGGGUGACCGGUCCGGCUCGGCAAGCCCCACCCGGAGCAAGGCCAAGCAGGGAGCGCACCGGGGUGACCCGGGGGAGGGUGGCCCGCCCGAGCUCCCGGGUAGGCCGCGCGAGGGCUUCGGCCCCGGGGCCCCGUACGGGGCUCAGAGAGAUGGUCGCCGCCGGCCCGCGAGGGCCGGCACAGGAUCCGGCUUACAGGCCGACUCCUCUC
rnacentral:RNase_P_RNA from 1 species